ACCUUUCAGGUUGCAGCCUGGUUGUAGUCUUUACCAGGCUGAUGGCUGGUGACUUUUUGGUCACCAGCCU
rnacentral:sRNA from 1 species